UAGACCCGAAACCAGGUGAUCUACCCUUGGUCAGGUUGAAGUUCAGGUAACACUGAAUGGAGGACCGAACCGACUUACGUUGAAAAGUGAGCGGAUGAACUGAGGGUAGCGGAGAAAUUCCAAUCGAACCUGGAGAUAGCUGGUUCUCUCCGAAAUAGCUUUAGGGCUAGCCUCAAGUGAUGAUUAUUGGAGGUAGAGCACUGUUUGGACGAGGGGCCCCUCUCGGGUUACCGAAUUCAGACAAACUCCGAAUGCCAAUUAAUUUAACUUGGGAGUCAGAACAUGGGUGAUAAGGUCCGUGUUCGAAAGGGAAACAGCCCAGACCACCAGCUAAGGUCCCAAAAUAUAUGUUAAGUGGAAAAGGAUGUGGCGUUGCCCAGACAACUAGGAUGUUGGCUUAGAAGCAGCCAUCAUUUAAAGAGUGCGUAAUAGCUUACUAGUCGAGUGACACUGCGCCGAAAAUGUACCGGGGCUAAACAUAUUACCGAAGCUGUGGAUUGUCCUUUGGACAAUGGUAGGAGAGCGUUCUAAGGGCGUUGAAGCAUGAUCGUAAGGACAUGUGGAGCGCUUAGAAGUGAGAAUGCCGGUGUGAGUAGCGAAAGACGGGUGAGAAUCCCGUCCACCGAUUGACCAAGGUUUCCAGAGGAAGGCUCGUCCGCUCUGGGUUAGUCGGGUCCUAAGCUGAGGCCGACAGGCGUAAGCGAUGGAUAACAGGUUGAUAUUCCUGUACCACCUAUAAUCGUUUUAAUCGAUGGGGGGGACGCAGUAGGAUAGGCGAAGCGUGCGAUUGGAUUGCACGUCUAAGCAGUAAGGCUGAGUAUUAGGCAAAUCCGGUACUCGUUAAGGCUGAGCUGUGAUGGGGAGAAGACAUUGUGUCUUCGAGUCGUUGAUUUCACACUGCCGAGAAAAGCCUCUAGAUAGAAAAUAGGUGCCCGUACCGCAAACCGACACAGGUAGUCAAGAUGAGAAUUCUAAGGUGAGCGAGCGAACUCUCGUUAAGGAACUCGGCAAAAUGACCCCGUAACUUCGGGAGAAGGGGUGCUCUUUAGGGUUAACGCCCAGAAGAGCCGCAGUGAAUAGGCCCAAGCGACUGUUUAUCAAAAACACAGGUCUCUGCUAAACCGUAAGGUGAUGUAUAGGGGCUGACGCCUGCCCGGUGCUGGAAGGUUAAGAGGAGUGGUUAGCUUCUGCGAAGCUACGAAUCGAAGCCCCAGUAAACGGCGGCCGUAACUAUAACGGUCCUAAGGUAGCGAAAUUCCUUGUCGGGUAAGUUCCGACCCGCACGAAAGGCGUAACGAUUUGGGCACUGUCUCAACGAGAGACUCGGUGAAAUCAUAGUACCUGUGAAGAUGCAGGUUACCCGCGACAGGACGGAAAGACCCCGUGGAGCUUUACUGUAGCCUGAUAUUGAAAUUCGGCACAGCUUGUACAGGAUAGGUAGGAGCCUUUGAAACGUGAGCGCUAGCUUACGUGGAGGCGCUGGUGGGAUACUACCCUAGCUGUGUUGGCUUUCUAACCCGCACCACUUAUCGUGGUGGGAGACAGUGUCAGGCGGGCAGUUUGACUGGGGCGGUCGCCUCCUAAAAGGUAACGGAGGCGCUCAAAGGUUCCCUCAGAAUGGUUGGAAAUCAUUCAUAGAGUGUAAAGGCAUAAGGGAGCUUGACUGCGAGACCUACAAGUCGAGCAGGGUCGAAAGACGGACUUAGUGAUCCGGUGGUUCCGCAUGGAAGGGCCAUCGCUCAACGGAUAAAAGCUACCCCGGGGAUAACAGGCUUAUCUCCCCCAAGAGUUCACAUCGACGGGGAGGUUUGGCACCUCGAUGUCGGCUCAUCGCAUCCUGGGGCUGUAGUCGGUCCCAAGGGUUGGGCUGUUCGCCCAUUAAAGCGGUACGCGAGCUGGGUUCAGAACGUCGUGAGACAGUUCGGUCCCUAUCCGUCGUGGGCGUAGGAAAUUUGAGAGGAGCUGUCCUUAGUACGAGAGGACCGGGAUGGACAUACCUCUGGUGUACCAGUUGUCGUGCCAACGGCAUAGCUGGGUAGCUAUGUGUGGACGGGAUAAGUGCUGAAAGCAUCUAAGCAUGAAGCCCCCCUCAAGAUGAGAUUUCCCAACUUCGGUUAUAAGAUCCCUCAAAGAUGAUGAGGUUAAUAGGUUCGAGGUGGAAGCAUGGUGACAUGUGGAGCUGACGAAUACUAAUCGAUCGAAGACUUAAUCAA
rnacentral:rRNA from 1 species